GUGGGGAAUAUUGGACAAUGGGCGCAAGCCUGAUCCAGCCAUGCCGCGUGAGUGAUGAAGGCCUUAGGGUUGUAAAGCUCUUUUGUCCGGGAAGAUAAUGACUGUACCGGAAGAAUAAGCCCCGGCUAACUUCGUGCCAGCAGCCGCGGUAAUACGAAGGGGGCUAGCGUUGUUCGGAAUCACUGGGCGUAAAGCGCACGUAGGCGGACCAUUAAGUCAGGGGUGAAAGCCUGGAGCUCAACUCCAGAACUGCCUUUGAUACUGAUGGUCUCGAGUAUGGAAGAGGUUGGUGGAACUGCGAGUGUAGAGGUGAAAUUCGUAGAUAUUCGCAAGAACACCGGUUGCGAAGGCGGCCAACUGGUCCAUUACUGACGCUGAGGUGCGAAAGCGUGGGGAGCAAACAGGAUUAGAAACCCCGGUAGUCC
rnacentral:rRNA from 1 species